UUAUGUCUUGACGAGUAAGAGGGUCGCGGCGGUGAGCGCAGAAGGGUCAGGGCGAGAGCCUGCCUGGAGCCGCCGUUGGCGCAGAUCUUGGUGGUAGUAGCAAAUACUCUAGCGAGGGCCUGGAGGACUGACGUGGAGAAGGGUUUCUUGUGAACAGCCGUUGCACAAGAGUCAGUCGACCCUGAGCCCUAGGAGAAAUCCAAUGUCGAUGGGUAGCUUGACAAAAGUUGUGUGUAACUUGUAAGUUACUCUACAAAAGUCUUAACUGCUCCUGUCGGGCAAAAGGGAAUCCGGUUCCUAUUCCGGAACCCGGCUGCGUAACCGCUACUUUGCGGGCACUUGCUUGCGAGCGCUCGUCGGGGUAACCCAAACUGGCCUGGAGACGCCGGCGGGGGGUCUGGAAAGAGUUUUCUUUUCUUUAUAAGCGUUCGAGUACCCUGGAAUCCUAUAGCAGGGAGAUAGGGUUUGGAACGCGAAGAGCACCGCAGUUGCGGCGGUGUCCGGACCUUCCCCCCGGACCUUGAAAAUCCAGGUGAGGGCCACGCGGAAGUCGCGCCGG
rnacentral:rRNA from 1 species